rnacentral:rRNA from 1 species
CGUCCCUGCUCCCUUGCACACACCGCCCGUCAAACCACCCGAGUGGGGUUUGAAUGAGGGCCUUAUUCAUUGUAAGGCUCGAAUUCAUGCUCUGUAAGGGGGUU